rnacentral:rRNA from 1 species
UACGUAGGGCGCAAGCGUUAUCCGGAAUUAUUGGGCGUAAAGAGCUCGUAGGCGGUUUGUCGCGUCUGCCGUGAAAGUCCGGGGCUCAACUCCGGAUCUGCGGUGGGUACGGGCAGACUAGAGUGCGGUAGGGGAGACUGGAAUUCCUGGUGUAGCGGUGAAAUGCGCAGAUAUCAGGAGGAACACCGGUGGCGAAGGCGGGUCUCUGGGCCGAUACUGACGCUGAGGAGCGAAAGCGUGGGGAGCGAACAGG